ACGGGAGGCAGCAGUGGGGAAUAUUGCACAAUGGAGGAAACUCUGAUGCAGCGACGCCGCGUGAGUGAAGAAGUAUUUCGGUAUGUAAAGCUCUAUCAGCAGGGAAGAAAAUGACGGUACCUGACUAAGAAGCCCCGGCUAACUACGUGCCAGCAGCCGCGGUAAUACGUAGGUGGCGAGCGUUGUCCGGAUUUACUGGGUGUAAAGGGAGCGCAGGCGGGACUGCAAGUUGGAUGUGAAAUACCGAGGCUUAACCUCGGAGCUGCAUCCAAAACUGUAGUUCUUGAGUGAAGUAGAGGUAGGCGGAAUUCCGAGUGUAGCGGUGAAAUGCGUAGAUAUUCGGAGGAACACCGGUGGCGAAGGCGGCCUACUGGGCUUUAACUGACGCUGAGGCUCGAAAGUGUGGGGAGCAAACAGGAUUAGAUACCCUGGUA
rnacentral:rRNA from 1 species